GACGAACGCUGGCGGCGUGCCUAAUACAUGCAAGUCGAACGAAGCUUUUUUAACUGGUGCUUGCACCGACUUAAACAACUGAGUGGCGAACGGGUGAGUAACACGUGGGUAACCUGCCCCAAAGCGGGGGAUAACAUUUGGAAACAGAUGCUAAUACCGCAUAACCACAGAAACCACAUGGUUUCUGUGUCAAAGAUGGUUUCGGCUAUCACUUUGGGAUGGACCCGCGGCGUAUUAGCUAGUUGGUAAGGUAAUGGCUUACCAAGGCAAUGAUACGUAGCCGAACUGAGAGGCUGAUCGGCCACAUUGGGACUGAGACACGGCCCAAACUCCUACGGGAGGCAGCAGUAGGGAAUCUUCCACAAUGGACGAAAGUCCGAUGGAGCAACGCCGCGUGAGUGAAGAAGGUUUUCGGAUCGUAAAACUCUGUUGUCAGAGAAGAACGUGUGCGAGAGUAACUGUUCGUGCAGUGACGGUAUCUGGCCAGAAAGCCACGGCUAACUACGUGCCAGCAGCCGCCGUAA
rnacentral:rRNA from 1 species